GGUGCGGUAGUUCAGUCGGUUAGAAUACCGGCCUGUCACGCCGGGGGGCGCGGGUUCGAGUCCCGUCCGCACCGCCA
rnacentral:tRNA from 6 species